AGGACGAACGCUGGCGGCGUGCUUAACACAUGCAAGUCGAGCGGAAAGGCCCUUCGGGGUACUCGAGCGGCGAACGGGUGAGUAACACGUGAGUAAUCUGCCCCUAGCUCUGGGGAUAGCUCCGGGAAACCGGGAUUAAUACCGGAUAUGACCACUUUAGACAUCUGUUGUGGUGGAAAGAAUUUCGGCUAGGGAUGAGCUCGCGGCCUAUCAGCUUGUUGGUGGGGUAACGGCCUACCAAGGCGACGACGGGGUA
rnacentral:rRNA from 1 species